AACGGGUGUAGCAAUACAUUAGUGGCGGACGGGUGAGUAACGCGUGAGAAUCUGCCAACAGGACUGGGACAACAGUGGGAAACCGCUGCUAACCCCGGAUGUACCGAGAGGGAAAAUAUUUAUAGCCUGUUGAUGAGCUCGCGUCUGAUUAGCUAGUUGGUGGGGUAAAAGCCUACCAAGGCAUCGAUCAGUAGCUGGUCUGAGAGGACGAUCAGCCACACUGGGACUGAGACACGGCCCAGACUCCUACGGGAGGCAGCAGUGGGGAAUUUUCCGCAAUGGGCGAAAGCCUGACGGAGCAAGACCGCGUGAGGGAGGAAGGCUCUUGGGUUGUAAAACUCUUUUCUCUGGGAAGAACAAAAUGACGGUACCAGAGGAAUCAGCAUCGGCUAACUCCGUGCCAGCAGACGCGGUAAGACGGAGGAUGCAAGCGUUAUCCGGAAUGAUUGGG
rnacentral:rRNA from 1 species